rnacentral:rRNA from 1 species
UACGUAGGCGGAAAAUUAAGUCAGUAGUGAAAUCCUGCAGCUUAACUGUAGAACUGUUAUUGAUACUGGUUUUCUUGAAUAUAGUUGAGGUAGGCGGAAUGUGUAAUGUAGCGGUGAAAUGCUUAGAUAUUACACAGAACACCGAUUGCGAAGGCAGCUUACUAAGAUAUGAUUGACGCUGAGGUACGAAAGCGUGGGGAGCGAACAGGAUUAGAUACCCUGGUAGUCC